UGGGGAAUAUUGCACAAUGGGCGAAAGCCUGAUGCAGCGACGCCGCGUGAGGGACGAAGGCCUUCGGGUUGUAAACCUCUUUCAGCAGGGAAGAAGCGAAAGUGACGGUACCUGCAGAAGAAGCGCCGGCUAACUACGUGCCAGCAGCCGCGGUAAUACGUAGGGCGCAAGCGUUAUCCGGAAUUAUUGGGCGUAAAGAGCUCGUAGGCGGUUUGUCGCGUCUGCUGUGAAAGCCCGGGGCUCAACCCCGGGUCUGCAGUGGGUACGGGCAGACUAGAGUGCAGUAGGGGAGACUGGAAUUCCUGGUGUAGCGGUGAAAUGCGCAGAUAUCAGGAGGAACACCGAUGGCGAAGGCAGGUCUCUGGGCUGUAACUGACGCUGAGGAGCGAAAGCAUGGGGAGCGAACAGGAUUAGAUACCCUGGUAGUCCAUGCCGUAAAUCGUUGGGCACUAGGUGUGGGGGACAUUCCACG
rnacentral:rRNA from 1 species